GAAAUGCGAUAAUUAAUGUGAAUUGCAGAAUUCAGUGAAUCAUCGAGUCUUUGAACGCACAUUGCGCCCCCUGGUAUUCCGGGGGGCAUGCCUGUCCGAGCGUCAUUGCUGCCCUCAAGCACGGCUUGUGUGUUGGGCUUCCGUCCCUGGCAACGGGGACGGGCCCAAAAGGCAGUGGCGGCACCAUGUCUGGUCCUCGAGCGUAUGGGGCUUUGUCACCCGCUCCCGUAGGUCCAGCUGGCAGCUAGCCUCGCAACCAAUCUUUUUAACCAGGUUGACAUCGGAUCAGGUAGGGAUACCCGCUGAACUUAAGC
rnacentral:misc_RNA from 1 species